rnacentral:rRNA from 1 species
AGUGAACGCUGGCGGUAGGCCUAACACAUGCAAGUCGAACGGCAGCACAGUAAGAGCUUGCUCUUACGGGUGGCGAGUGGCGGACGGGUGAGGAAUACAUCGGAAUCUACUUUUUCGUUGGGGAUAACGUAGGGAAACUUCCGCUAAUACCGCAUACGACCUACGGGUGAAAGCAGGGGAUCUUCGGACCUUGCGCGAUUGAAUGAGCCGAUGUCGGCUUAGCUAGUUGGCGGGUUAAAGGCCCACCAAGGCGACGAUCCUUAGCUGGUCUGAGAGGAUGAACAGCCACACUGGAACAGAGAAACGGUCGCGACUCCGACGGGAGGAAGCAGUGGGGAAUAUUGGACAAUGGGGGCAAGCCUGAUACAGCCAUACCGCGUGGGGGAAGAAGGACUUAGGGUUGGAAAGCCAUUUUGUUGGGAAAGAAAAGCAGCAGGUUAAUACCCCGCGGUUCUGACGGUACCAAAAGAAUAAGCACCGGCUAACUUCGUG